UGAUGAUAGUGUAAUAAAGACUGUAUAAGGAAAACUGCGCUGUUCCAAAAGUUAUUGACGGAGUAUCACCAGAUGUGACAGACUUUGAACCAACUCCAAACAAUGUUAUAUUCUCCGAAUCAAAAUAUGCCCCUUCUAAAGGAGAAUUUAUAAAACAGCAUUUUAUAUCAUUUUAUAUCCCAAGGGGAAUUUCAUGAUCUUGUUCGGUGUUUAGAAUUGUCGAAAGGACUAACCGAACUUCUAGGUUUCAGAUACAGGACCAAGGAAACUAGUUUGUUCGGAUCACUUUUCAACGAAUACACUGAGUAUAGUAAUUUGGUUUACUGCAACGAUGUGAACAACGAUUGUUUGAACAACUUGGAUAUAGGAUAUAUGAACAACUUCGAUAUAGCCAUGUUCCAGAAGAUUGGUGAUUAUUUAUUGACGGUUCAACAAAAAGCCUGAAAGCAGUGCUUUUGCAUAAUAAUGGAUCGCUUCCUUCGCUACCAUUGACUUACACUACAAACAUCAUAGAAUAAUAUGACAGUAUGUCUCCAAUACUAAACGCUAUAGGAUACCACACAUAAGUGGCCAAUUAUGGCUGAUUUGAAAGACAGCCGAGAUUCUUCUAAACAUAAAAUACAAAGAGACGGGAAACUGCGUUUAACAGCUAUUAUUGGUGACAUUUAGCAUAAAUAUCCUGUUAGUCAAUCCAAACGACAUCAUUUUAACUCCAAAGCACAUAAAAUUGGGCUUAAUAAAGCAAUUCGUGAAAAAAUGGAGCAACAAUAAAAUACCUUGAACAGGGUUUUCCACGAUUUACGAGCGGAAAAUUAAAAGAAGGUCCCCGACUACGGAAAUUGGUAAAUGAUGAGAAAUUCAUACAACAAGUAAAAAAGACAUGGAGUGGUUUUGUUUUAGUGUGGAAAAAUUUUCUUGGAAAACCGAAAAGUGAAAAUUAUGAGCAUAUAGUUAACAACAUGAUCGGCUUACCAUGCAAUAGGUUGCAAAAUGCCAAUAAAAUUACACUAUGUGCUUGCUCAUUUGGAAAGAUUUCCAUUAAGUGUAGGGCAGCUGAGUGAUG
rnacentral:sRNA from 1 species